CGGGGUGCACCAGGCGCGAAAAUUUCGCAAUGCACGAAAGUGCGACGAGGAUACUUCGAGUACCGUCCUCUGAGGAUGGCUUUUGCCAAGUCUAAAUAGCUUGGAGAAUAAGGGGAGGGCAAGUCUGGUGUCAGCCGCCGCGGUAAUACCAGCUCCCCGAGUGGUCGGGAUGAUUAUUGGGCCUAAAGCAUCCGUAGCCGGUUCCGUAGGUCUCCUGUUAAAUUCAACGGCUCAACCGUUGAGCUGCAGGAGAUACCGCGGGGCUAGGAGGCGGGAGAGGCGGACGGUACUCCGUGGGUAGGGGUAAAAUCCUCUGAUCCUCGGAAGACCACCAGUGGCGAAGGCGGUCCGCCAGAACGCGUUCGACGGUGAGGGAUGAAAGCUGGGGGAGCGAACCGGAUUAGAUACCCGGGUAGUCCCAGCUGUAAACGAUGCGAGCUAGGUGAUAGAACGAUUUCGUAUCAUUCUAGUGCCGCAGGGAAGCCGUUAAGCUCGCCGCCUGGGGAGUGCGGUCGCAAGACUGAAACUUAAAGGAAUUG
rnacentral:rRNA from 1 species